rnacentral:misc_RNA from 1 species
UUAACUAUUGCGUUUUGACUCGGACGACACUGAUAACAGAAUUUAUUGGGGCCUUCGGCGGGCACGAGGAGGCUUGUUUAGGGCCUCCCGCGAAAGCGUUCGGCGGCCCGCCAAAGCAACGUGAGUUUGGUAUACACGGGUGAAGAGUUGGGGCCGGUCGGACCCCGUCUCUCGGUAAUGAUCCUUCCGCAGGUUCACCUACGGAAA